UACAGAGGUCUCGAGCGUUAGGCGGAAUCACUGGGCUUAAAGCGUGUGUAGGCGGAUCGGUAAGUACCUUGUGAAAUCCCACAGCUUAACUGUGGAACUGCUUGGUAUACUGCCAGUCUUGAGCCACUUAGGGGCUACCGGAACAAAUGGUGGAGCGGUGAAAUGCGUAGAUAUCAUUUGGAACGCCAAUGGUGAAAACAGGUAGCUGGGAGUGUGCUGACGCUGAGGUGCGAAAGCGUGGGGAGCAAACAGG
rnacentral:rRNA from 1 species